GACGAACGCUGGCGGCGUGCUUAACACAUGCAAGUCGAACGGAAAGGCCCCUUUGGGGGUACUCGAGUGGCGAACGGGUGAGUAACACGUGAGUAACCUGCCCUUGACUUCGGGAUAACUUCAGGAAACUGGGGCUAAUACCGGAUAGGAAUCCUUGAUGCAUGGUGGGGGUUGGAAAGCUUCGGCGGUUUUGGAUGGACUCGCGGCUUAUCAGCUUGUUGGUGGGGUAGUGGCUUACCAAGGCUUUGACGGGUAGCCGGCCUGAGAGGGCGACCGGCCACAUUGGGACUGAGAUACGGCCCAGACUCCUACGGGAGGCAGCAGUGGGGAAUAUUGCACAAUGGGCGGAAGCCUGAUGCAGCAACGCCGCGUGCGGGAUGACGGCCUUCGGGUUGUAAACCGCUUUCAGCAGGGGCGAAGCUUGUGGUGACGGUACCUGCAGAAGAAGCACCGGCUAACUACGUG
rnacentral:rRNA from 1 species